ACGGGUGAGUAAUACAUCGGAACGUGCCCAAUCGUGGGGGAUAACGCAGCGAAAGCUGUGCUAAUACCGCAUACGAUCUACGGAUGAAAGCAGGGGACCGCAAGGCCUUGCGCGAGUGGAGCGGCCGAUGGCAGAUUAGGUAGUUGGUGGGGUAAAGGCUCACCAAGCCAACGAUCUGUAGCUGGUCUGAGAGGACGACCAGCCACACUGGGACUGAGACACGGCCCAGACUCCUACGGGAGGCAGCAGUGGGGAAUUUUGGACAAUGGGCGAAAGCCUGAUCCAGCAAUGCCGCGUGCAGGAUGAAGGCCUUCGGGUUGUAAACUGCUUUUGUAUGGAACGAAACGGCCUUUUCUAAUAAAGAGGGCUAAUGACGGUACCGUAAGAAUAAGCACCGGCUAACUACGUGCCAGCAGCCGCGGUAAUACGUAGGGUGCAAGCGUUAAUCGGAAUUACUGGGCGUAAAGCGUGCGCAGGCGGUUAUGUAAGACAGUUGUGAAAUCCCCGGGCUCAACCUGGGAAUUGCAUCUGUGACUGCAUAGCUAGAGUACGGUAGAGGGGGAUGGAAUUCCGCGUGUAGCAGUG
rnacentral:rRNA from 1 species